rnacentral:lncRNA from 1 species
AUCCUCAAAGGACUAUGUCUUGUCGUACGUCGAUACUUUGCUGGAUCUGCAGUUGCCGGAAGAGAAGAGGAAGCUUAAUGAAGGAGAGAUGGUGACGCUGUGCUCGGAGUUUCUCAGUGCCGGAACUGACACUACCUCCACUGCACUGCAGUGGAUCAUGGCGAACCUGGUGAAGUCCCCCCAUAUUCAGGCCAGGCUUUUCGAGGAGAUUAGUGGGGUUGUGGGCGAAGACGAGGAGGAGGUGAAGGAGGAGGAUUUGCUGAAGAUGCCAUACUUGAAGAAAGUGGUCUUGGAAGGGUUGAGGCGGCAUCCUCCGGGACACUUUGUGUUGCCUCAUUCAGUGACCCAAGAUGUAAGCUUUGAAGGGUAUGACAUACCCAAGAACGCAACUGUGAAUUUCAUGAUAUCAGAGAUGAAUUGGAACCCAACGAUUUGGGAAAACCCAAUGGAGUUCAAGCCAGAGAGGUUCUUGAACAACAAUGGAGAUGGAGACCAUGGAGUUGAAGGGGAAGCAUUUGAUAUAACUGGGAGCAGAGAGAUAAAGAUGAUGCCAUUUGGUGCAGGGAGGAGGAUAUGUCCCGGGUAUGGGUUGGCAAUGCUGCUUUUGGAGUAUUUUGUGGGGAAUUUGGUGUGGAAUUUUGAAUGGAAGGCAGUGGAGGGAGAUGAAGUUGAUCUAUCUGAGAAGAUGGAGUUCACAGUAGUAAUGAAGAAUCCAUUGCAGGCUCGCUUAUCUCCGAGGUUGAAAUAGGGUAAAAAUCGAAAAUAAAUAAAUAAAGAAGUAGAGGUCUUUAGAAGAUCCUCACUGCACCACUAUUACUUCAUUAUCACCAUAAUUCAUAUGAUAUUUCAGUAUAAUGUAUGGAUUUGAAUUACAUGUACUAUAAAUCUAUAACAUAUAUAUGCAGAAUAUUAAAGGGACUGUUGGCUCGAUGUGUCUGCAAAAUCGUUAAGAGAGUGGGUUAUCUUUAUUUGUUUCUACGUCUUGGUUGACAACAAAAGAACCCUUGUCGUACCGCAAAUAACUUUUGGACAGGGCCGGGGAGUUUUAGUUAAUGAAGAAAUAAUCGUAAUCCAUAUGAUAUUUUCAUUUUGCUUUUCAUUCAAGGUAGAUUAAAGUUAUUUUAAGAGCAGGUUAAAGUUAUUUUAAAAAGUGUUUAUAAUCUUUUUAAUACUUAAAAAAUUUUAUUUUUUAAUACUUAAAAAUUUUUAUUUUUUAAUAUUAAGAAGACUAGAAAUACUUAUCAAAAUCACUAUCAAACACAGCCUAAAAAUAUGUUUGAAAGUGAUUUUAAAAAGUAUUUAUAACAUUUUUAAUACUUGAAUCAUACAAAAUAUUAAGUAUUAAAAAUAUUAAAAACGUUUUCUAGAAUCACUGUAAAACCAAUUCUAAGACUUCAAUUCAUAUUAAUUCUAAAAAGUAUUUUUUACAUAUAAAAAAAUAUUUUUAAAGAAAAAUUAAAUAGUUGAUAAAAUUUUUAAAAUAUUUUUAAAAAAAUAUUUAUAAUAUUUCCUAAAAACACAUUUAAAAUAAAUGAUUCUUUUUAAAUAAUUCUAUUGAAAGCAAAAUAUAUAAUAUGAAAUUGAUAAUAUAUAUAUAUAGAAAAAUAUGUCACGUGUGUUUGCCAUUAUUUCUUAGGUCUACGUUUGAAAACAAAUAUAUAUAUCUUACUAAAGAAGAAAACUACCAAAAAGCAACCACGUCACAUUCUAUUAAAUUUUAUACCAACCAACCCAUGUAUCUAAUGCAGAUGGCAACAGUAGCACAACCCAGAGCAGAUCAUCUUCUUCUUCAUUCUGGGAGCUUGGAUUGGAUUUCAUAGCAAAGAUGGAGACAUGGGUCUUCAGCAUCAUCAUCUCCCUCUGUGUGUCCGCUUUACUCGAGCCUCUAUGUGAUUUCAUAUUUCCAAAACUGAAUUCCCCUCUAGGACCCACCACGGUUCCUUUAGUAGGGAACUUCCUAUGGCUCUUUAAAUCCUUCGCAGAGCUUGUGCAACAGUAAGAAAGAAUUAAAAAGCACAAAGUUUUACUUUUUGAUAACUCUUACAGAAGGAACCAGUCCCCCUUAUACCUAAAAGUCAUUUACUGAGCAAAGCAUAAAUCACGAAAUAAAAUAAAAUAAACAUAAAUCAGAUAAUAAAAUCAAGCAAUAAUUACCAAACUUUGGUUUUUCAGAAAUACCCAAAAUAAAAUCAAAAUUCCCAAUUUAAGAGGGUUGUUACAUUUCCUGCCCCUUCAGAUAAGCCUUGUCCUGAUAUAAAGGAAAUUUAUCUUGUAGCUUAAAUGCACCUUCUCUUAUCCAAGACAAAAAAGGGCUCAAGUUACAACUGGACAUCUUCUUGCGUUGCUGGUAACUCCAUGGGAGGAGUGAUUGACUUCCCAAUUUUUUUCUUUAAGCAAGAAACAUGAAAGAUAUGAUGAAUUUUUUAAUUUGUUGAUAAUUCAAUUUGUAGGUAACCUGUCAAAUUCAUUGAAUAAUCUUAUAUGACCAAAGAAUUGAAGAGACGACUUCCUAUUCCCUUUGAAUGACACAGUAUUUUGUUUAUAAGGUUGUAGAUGAAAGAAGACCAUAUCUCCCACUUCUAAUGUCCUUUCACAUCUUUUUUGAUCUACAUACAUCUUCAUUCUAGUUUGGGCUUGAAUAAGAUUAGUCUUGAGUAGUCAUAUCAUGACAUCCAAUCCCUUAAAUUAUGUGGAGUUUGAGUUUGAUUUUGGGAAAUAUUCAUCGCAUAGGAGUUAUCCUAAAAAUAUAUUCAUAGUACCUUCCUUAAUGUCAUAGUCACUAAGCAUUUGUUUCAUUUAAAGGAGUUGGGUACAACAACUCCCUAUGACUAUAUACUUCGCUUCCACAAUGGACAAUGAUAUUAAGUUUUGCUUCUUCAAAUUUUCAAAACUUAAUCUCAAUUUUUUUUAAAUUCCCACUCCUUACAUACGACGUAGCAACUUUUACAAAAUUUCUCCCAAUUAGAUACUAACGCGUAGAUGUUCACCACUUUUUUUGACCAUUUGACCCACAAUUUUAUGAAAUGCUUUAUGCUUCUAGAAUCUGACAUGUCCUUAAAAACUCGGGUAUUACAGAGCAGAUAUAGGUUGGAACCCAAAGGUGUGGGAGGAUCCAAUGGAGUUCAGGCUUGAGAGGUUUCUGACCGGAGAAGUAUUCGAUAUAAAUGGGAGCAGAGAGAUCAAAAUGAUGCCAUUUGGUGCAGGAAGAAGGAUGUGUCCAGGGUUUGGCUUAGCUAUGCUUCAUUUGGUCUGGAAAGCUGAAAAGAGAGCUGUGGAUGGAGAUGAUAUUGAUCUAUCAGAUAAGGACCUAGAGUUCAUGUCAGUGAUGAAGAAUCCAUUGCAGGCUCUCAUAUCUCCUAGGUUGAAAUAAGAUACAAAGUUAAUAAUAGAGUGGCUUUCACAUUUGCAAUAAAAUAAGAUAGACUAUAGUUUAAGAAUACGUCCCCUCCGUUUUUGAGGUUGUAAUACUUAAGAAAAAAGAGUGGCAGUUUCAUUGUUGAGGAUAAAAGCAAAUGAGAGUGAAAGCUUGCUAUGAGUGUGAUUCAUUGCUAUCAUAUAUCUGAAGAAAAAUGUUUUUAUCUUAUGGUUGAAUUUUUCCUCACCCAUUAGGGUUUCUUAUGUAUCGUUGAUAGUAUAUCUAGCUAGUUACACUAGGAAGGAUAGUCAUCUUGAGAUUAUGUCUUUUAAAAGUACCAUCAUUGAAUUUAUUUUGAAUAUGAUUUAUAAGAUCACAAUAAUUGGCAUGCAUAGACCUAAAAUGGAUCAUGAAACUAAUGGCAGAAGCUUCUUAUAAAAGAAGUUAGAUUUGUGUUUUUACUCGAGAUAAUAAAUAUCAGCAUGAUAAUACCCCUUAGUAUAAAUUUUAAAUUUAUUUGGAUUUUUUUUACUAAUUAAUUAACAAUUUUAUUCAAGAGCUUAACUUACAAAAACGGUCAAGUUAAUUUCAUAUUAAUUUUGACACUAUUUUUUCAACUCCAAGUGGCUUAAAUCUUACAUGUCAUAAAUCCAAUUUUCUGCUAUAUGAACAGGACGAUUGUAUGCUCUCUUUUGUGCUAACAUAAAGCAAAAUGUCUUUUACUAAUAGAAAAAUACAUCAUAAUGCCACUUACAUACUGCACACGAGAAAAAAAAAAGGGAAAUUAAAGGCACAAAGCUAACAAUGAAGAUACAAGCCACAUCUUAUUUCAAUCUCUUGGAGAUAGGCGAGCCUUCAGUGGAUUCUUCAUCACUGUUGAGAGCUGCUGCUUCUCUGAUAGAUUAACUUCAUCUCCCUCUACAGCCUUCCAUUCAAAACUCCACACCAAAUUCGCCACAAAAUACUCCAAAUGCAGCAUGGCUAGACCAUAACCAGGACACAUCCUCCUACCUGCACCAAAUGGCAUCAUUUUGAUCUCACUGCUCCCGGUUAUAUCAAAUACUUCGCCUCCAUCCCCAUCACCAUUUUUAUUCAAGAACCUCUCAGGCUUGAACUCCAUUGGAUCUUCCCAAACAUUUGGGUUCCUACCUAUCUCUGCUACCAUGAAAUUCACAAUAGUAUUCUUGGGUAUUAUAUACCCAUCUAAGACUACAUCUUGGGUCACUGAGUGAGGGCUCACAAAGUGUCCCGGAGGAUGACGUCUCAGACCUUCCAAGAUCACUGCCUUCAAGUAUGGCAUCUUCUGCAAAUCUUCCUCCUUCACCUCUUUCUCUCCUACCCCCACAACCCCCAUUAUUUCCUCAAAUAGCUUGACCUGAAUAUGCGGGUACUGCACCAGGUUUGCCAUGAUCCACUGCAGGGCUGUUGAUGUAGUAUCAGUCCCAGCACCGAGAAACUCGGAACAUAAACUCACUAUCUCUCCUUCAUUAAGUUUCCUCUUCUCAUCUGGCAGCUGCAGAUCCAGCAAAGUAUCAACAUACGAAAUGAAAUAGUCCUUUGAGGAGGAAGACAAAUCGUUACUGUCUUGUUUUUGUUUUCUUUGCAUGUCAUGGUUAAGCCUUUGUCUGCCUCUUAUGAGAGGGAUCAGUACUUCUUCCUCAUCUUUGCAAAUCUGUAAGAACUCCCUCCAACGCUUGCGAAACAGUAUCUUUCCCACCAUUGGCCAGAAAUUGAGUGGCUGGAAGCUAAUGAAACUUGCCGUAAGUCUAUGCACUACGCUUCCAAUUUCUUGGAUAUGGCCUUCAUCAAGCUUGCAACCAAAACACAUGAAAACCAGUAAGCAAAACAUGGUAUACAGGAAGUGAUCCAUCACCGGAACAGAUUCCGAGUGGCAUUGAAGCCGAGACUUUAGAAUUUCCAACGCCCACUUGCGAGCAUGGGAGUACAAUCUGAUGCGUGAGGGAUGGAGGAUUUCUAAGGUGAGGUUGCGGCGAAGGAGCCGCCAGGUUGGGCCAUAGUGAGCACAACUAACGUUAUGUGCAUUUCUGCUGAUGACUGCAUAGGUAGGCUGGGAAUGAGGGCGAUCAGAGAAUAUGGCACCAUUUUGGAUUAGAGCUUGGUGGGCGAGGGAGUUGGUGGAGAUGAAGACCGCGAGGCGAGAGCCGAAUUGAUGGGCGAUGAUCGGGCCGUAUUUAUCAUGUACGUUUCGGAGGGUGGACUCGACGUCUGAGAACGAUAUGCCAAACCAUAUGAAGUUGCCGAUCAGUGGAACCCUAAUAGGACCCGGCGGAAGCCUUGGAUUUGGGAAGACUACAUGGGAAAGAGAUAUAAGGAGAGUAGCAACAGAGAUGGAGAUAAAGACGAAGAUCCAGACCUCCAUUUUCGUGAUCAAUAAACCAAAUGUAACCUCAAAUAAAAGGCUCUGCUUAUGUGAUCUCUCCAUCCUCCACGUAUGCUUAAGGAAGAUAUAUAUGAACGGAAUGAAAACACGUAAAGAACAGAAGAGAAAGCAAACAGAGAUGUAACAUCAUAAUAUUAUCAUCUCGGGCACUACAACAAAUUACAGCAAACAAAGCAAUAUCGUCACAUCAUCAUAAUUGGAAUAAAAAACAAAACAAAUCUGUGAUGUUAUCACACUAACUUUGGACCAAGCUAGAAGUAGAACAAUGUGUGGAUCCUAGAGUUGAUUGCCCUACAUGUCGUCACUCGUAACUCGUAAGUGCCUUUGUCAAGGCUCCCCUUUUUUUAUACAUAUAAACAGAUGUGGCUGAAAAAAAUCAUAUAUAGAUUCCCUACUGCAAAGCUGAAAGAAGGGUAGCAUGUGGAAUGGACCCAAAUACAUUCAAAUUAUUAGAAUUCUGCCAUUCCACUUUUGGCAAAUGAUAGGUCAUCCAUCGGUUUAUCUGUAAAGCUACGCUCUUGACCCCAUUUGAAGAAACGGUGCUCAUGGAGACCAGCUAAGAAAUGUCACAAUAUUCUUGAACCAGGAGUUUUUCCUUGCAAAAUGUGUAAUGAUUUACAGCCAUGGCAAUCCGGACCAACAAACUCUGAACUUUCAUCAUCAAUAUAGUCUAUACAUGUGCUUGUACAAAAUUGGAUUAUAUACUUUCAGGAACCCGUCUUCGAAAUGAUUUAGUAAAUGAUUAGUUAAUAGAUUUGCCAAAAUCAAAUAAAUGAGAAACAAAAGUUAAGAGCAUUUGUGAUGUGAUUUAAAAACAGUUUUUUAUUUUUAAAAAUUAGAGAAUUGUUUUUAAAAAUUACUAACAUUGUUGAUCGAUUGUUUUCUUAAAACAGAUUUUAAAAAACAAAAAUAAAAUAGAAAACAACUUUAGAAAAUAAAUAAGAAGUUGUUUUUAUCAAUUUUUUAAAAACAAAAGGAAAACAUGGAAAAAAAAACCAUAAAAAACAAAUAAAAUUGAAUAUGAUAUCAUUCUCUUCACUAUCUAAUACCAAUACUAAAAAUUUUCAAAUAUGAUCUUUCUUUAAAUUACAGGUGUUUUUCUAAAUUUCUUUUAAAAUAAAAUUAAUAAAAGAACAACUUGUCAAACAUCCUUAUUUUUAUAAAACUAUAAAACCAAUUUUUUAUCUUUAACUUAAUUAAAAAGAGCUUUUAAAAACAAAUUUCAAAAAACAUGGUCAAACUAACCCUAACUAUUUAUAUUUAUUUGGUAACUCAGUAUGUUCUUGUAAUGUUUAAGAGCUUUAUUAUGGGAACACUUUCUUUUUUGCAUGUUUGAUAAGUUUCAUGAUCCUUAUCUUAAUGGUUUAGGUGAUGUGGUGGUCUUGGCAAUAGCCCAUAGUCAUUUUAUAACCUAAUUGAGAAUAUCAAAAUUUAAUUUUUCUUUUGCAAGAACUUACAUCAUUUGAGUCGACAAAUCUACUAUAUUUAAAGUGAACCAUGUAUUCAUUUGUCAUUAUAAUAGCUACUUGUCCUACUAUGACAUUAUUUUUAACUUCAAUUAUUUUACUAUGCUUUAAGCAUGUAUCUACUAUAUACUAUAUUAGUUAAUUAUUAAAUUAACAUUUUUAUAUAGGAAUUUCCAAGAAAUUUCAUGUCAUUCCCUUGGAAUCAACUCCCUCUUCGGUGAUGAUAAAAUUUGUCUCAUCAAAAUAAUAAUUUACACAAUAAGUCAUACCACACUUCAUUGGUAUAGAUAAACAAGUCAAAUUCCUUUUUAUAAAAGAAUAAUAGGGUAGAGUUUAAAAACUAAGCCCAAUCUUAUUCAAACACUUUUCUUUCAUUUUUAUCUUUAUAAAAUAAUUUAUCCUCCUAUUAUUUUAUUUACUAAUAAAAUUCACCAUUUGUGAAUUAAAUAGUAAAUAACAUAGAUAAUAUAUAAAUAGUAUGCUUUUUUAUUUUUUAUUUUUAUUUUAGGGUCCAACUAACUAAACCCAAAUUCUUAAGAGGUCUAAAUUAGCAUUUUUUUUUUCAUUCUUUUCAUUUUAUCAAUAAGUAAAAAGGAUUAUUAAAAUUCACAUAAUGUAUCUAAAGAUAAGAGAUAGAAUAACGAUUUAAGCAAAUCUUAAAAAAUAAAAAUUAUAAAUUUAUGAAAAUAAAAAUUAUAAAUUCAUGAAAAAAAAAAUUGUAUAGCAAUCCAAUUGUGCUAGAAUAUUUUUGCAUGGGAAAAUUAAAAUGGAAAAUUCAUAUUUCUAUUCCCUAUAAGAAUAAUUCAAAUUACAAACAUCAUCCUACAAAUUUAAUACUUCUCAAUCAUAGAUGAAAAAUUGACAUAGAUUUUGACUAGCAUAAAAAAAUAUUAAUAUCACCAUUUUUAUAACUUAUAAUUAUAAAUAAUAAUUGCAUAGCUUUUUUUAUGUAUAAUUUUAAUUUUUAAAAAUAAUAUUAAUAUUGUUAUUUUCAUAACUUAUAUAAUUUCUAGAUAUGUAUAAUUUUGGUUUGUAUAAAAAUUAUUAAUAUUAUUGUUUUCAUAACUUUUAGUUAUAAAUAAUAAGUUUCUAACUAUGUAUAAUUUUAAUUUGUAACAUAUAGCUUGUGGCUAUAUAAGUUUUGACAUUUAUUAAUUUUUAGCUAUUUUUUCUUUUACAUAACUUUGUACCUUAUCAUGAAAAUGAUGUAGGAGCUUUUAAAGUAUUUCUCAUGAAAUUUCAUCCAAAGAUAUUAAAUGUAGAUAAUAAAUCUUCUUGCUUGUUCUAUUGAGUAGAAGUCUUCAAAUGAUGGUAGGUAUUUAUAACAUGUUGUAAAAUAUAUAAAAAUAAAUAAUAUAGAAAGAAGAAAUUAAAAUAAUAUUUAAGUAGUGGUCUCUCUUUUGUAGGAAGUAAAUGAAUACUAAUUAUUAUUCAUGGUUUUUAAAAUAUUAUAAAUUCUCAUAUUUUAAAAUAUAAAUAUAAUUUUUAUAAUUUUUCAUAUUUUAUAAAAUAAAUAUAAUUUUUAGUAAGAAGUGAUUCUAAAAGUUUUUUAUUUAAAAUAAUAAACUCUAAUAGUUGUGAUUGACUACUUUUUGAGAAACAAUAAAAACACGUACUCCAAUAAAAUAAAAUAAAAAAAGAAAUAUCACUGUCACCAUCCAAGAUAAGUGAUUACUUCUAACCACACAACAUUCCCCAGACUUCCAGAUAGAUAAUAUAUAGUUAUAUCAGCCAGAACCAGAGAAUUUUUCAAUGGAUUUUGAUCGGCAAAAAAUGGAGAUAUGGGUCUUCUUCUUCAUCGCCUCACUCUGUAUUGCUUCCCUCCUCAAAUCUCUCCAUGAUUUCUUCUUCCCAAAGCUCAAACUCCCACCAGGACCCGCCGCCUUUCCUCUCAUCGGAAGCCUCCUCUGGCUCGGCACAUCCUUCGCCGACCUCGAACCCACCCUCCGAAAUUUACACGCCAAGUACGGCCCAAUCCUCACUCUCCGAAUCGGCUCUCGCCCGGCCAUCUUCAUCUCCGAGAACUCCCUCGCCCACCAGGCCUUGGUGCAAAACGGAGCCGUUUUCUCCGACCGUCCUGAGGCGCGUCCGGCCGGUAGAGUCAUGAAUAGUAACCAGCGAAACAUCAGUUCGUGCCCCUAUGGCCCGACCUGGCGUCUCUUCCGCCGCAACCUCAUGGCCGAGAUUCUCCACCCUUCCCGGGUGAGAAGCUACUCCCACGCACGAAAGUGGGUGCUGGAGAUUCUGGUCUCUCGGCUUAGAAGCCACUCCGACGGAUUUGUCCCUGUCCGAGUGAUGGAUCACGUUCAAUACGCCAUGUUUUGCCUACUGGUGUUCAUGUGUUUCGGGGACAAGCUCGAGGAGAAGCAAAUUCAGGAGAUUGAGAUGAUGCAGCGAAGGUGCUUGUUGGAAUUCCGUCGAUUCAAUAGGCUAGAUUUGUUGCCGAGGAUAGGGAAGGUAUUAUUUCGAAAAACGUGGGACGAGUUGCUCAAUUUGCGCAAAGAUCAAGAAGAGAUUCUGCUGCCGCACAUAAGAGCCAGACAGCCGCUAAAGCAGGAAACGCAAAGCAAACGAGAAGAAGACAACAGCGACCCGGGUUCAUCUUCAUCCUCAAAGGACUAUGUCUUGUCGUACGUCGAUACUUUGUUGGAUCUGCAGUUGCCGGAGGAGAAGAGGAAGCUUAAUGAAGGAGAGAUAGUGACGCUGUGCUCGGAGUUUCUCAGUGCCGGAACUGACACUACCUCCACUGCACUGCAGUGGAUCAUGGCCAACCUGGUGAAGUCCCCCCAUAUUCAGGCCAGGCUUUUCGAGGAGAUUAGUGGGGUUGUGGGGGAAGGAGAGGAGGAGGUGAAGGAGGAGGAUUUGCAGAAGAUGCCAUACUUGAAGGCAGUGGUCUUGGAAGGUCUGAGGCGGCAUCCUCCGGGACACUUUGUGUUGCCUCAUUCAGUGACCGAAGAUGUAAGCUUUGAAGGGUAUGACAUACCCAAGAACGCAACUGUGAAUUUCAUAGUAUCAGAGCUGAAUUGGAAUCCAAAGAUUUGGGAAAACCCAAUGGAGUUCAAGCCAGAGAGGUUCUUGGACAUCAAUGGAGAUGGAGAUCAUGGAGAUGAAGGGGAAGCAUUUGAUAUAACUGGGAGCAGAGAGAUAAAGAUGAUGCCAUUUGGUGCAGGGAGGAGGAUAUGUCCCGGGUAUGGGUUGGCAAUGCUGCAUUUGGAGUAUUUUGUGGCGAAUUUGGUGUGGAAUUUUGACUGGAAAGCAGUGGAGGGAGAUGAAGUUGAUCUAUCGGAGAAGCUGGAGUUCACAGUAGUGAUGAAGAAUCCAUUGCAGGCCCACUUAUCUCCGAGGUUGAAAUAAGGUAAAUAAAUAAUAAAUAAAGAAGUAGAUGGCUUUAGAAGGCCCACUGCACCGCUACCACUUCACUAUCACCACAAUUCAUAGAGUGUUUGGCUAAGUUGGCAAUUUUAGAUAAAAUGUCCCUAACUCAGUUUUCCAAUUCCUUUUCGGACUACUUGACCUUUCAAAAUUAAGACUUUAAUAAGAGGUCAAGGUUUGUAACCGAGUGUGUGUUGAAUAAAGCAAAUCAAGCCUAUUUUUCAUUUUUAAAAGAGUUAAGAAAACUUAAAGAAAUGUUUUUUGCUAAAAGGUUUUUAUUCCCCUAUUUCUAGACUCAUCCAAGUGUAAAGGUAGAUCAAUCCAACUAACUUGUUUUUAAGAUCAAAUUUCAGUCAUUAGAUUAAGGGUUUCUUUUUCUUUUUAAAUACAAACUUCUCUCAUUUCUGAUAAAGAGAUGCUACAGCAAUCAUGAAAGAGAGCUUCUCAUUCUUUAGCAUUUUGAGAGUAUUUGCCUAUUAAGAAAAUCUCAUCCAAGUUUUCCAAGAAAAUUUUUUUAAUAGAUUUUCUGAAAAAGAAAAUAGGUUGAUUUCUAAAACAUUCAUCUCUCAUUCUCUUGGGUUUGUGUAAAAACUCAUUUUCAUCUUGUGUGAAUUCAAGAAAAGGUCGAGAUCGAGUUUGCUGUGGACUCCAAACGUGCUCCGAAAGAGUAAGGUAAGAAGCUGAAUGUGAAAAGUAUUAGUCAAGUGGUCCGGGAAGAAUUGGUUGGCUUUAAUUAGGUAAAACCUUGUAUUCAGUUUUUAUUCUUCAUAGUGGAUAUUUUCGUUUAAUUGUAGGCCCGUGGUUUUUUAUCUAUUCAAAGGUUUUCCACAUUACAAUUCGAUGUCAAUUGUCUUUUUAUCUCACUCUAUUCUUUGAUUUAUUUUCGAUUUUUGAUAUAAUUGGUUAUUUGAGCAUAUAUGUUGAAUGGAAGAAAUAUGAGCUGAAAUAAAUGUGAUUAUCCAUGUAAUAUCUUCAAAAAAAAAUUUGUUCGUUUUGGUUAAUGAUAUAUUGUAGUAAAUUGAAACCAGAUAAGAAGAUAAUUGUUCUUUUGAAUUAAUUUUGAGUAUUGAAGUAUUUGCAUGUUAAUUAUAUUUAUAAAUAGUUGAGAGAGUGUUGGUGCAUAAUACUUACUUGUAGAUUUUAUACUUUAUUGAAAAGUUAUUGGAAGAAAAGUUUAUUAACAUUGAGAAAUUUUAAGGUUAAGUAAUCAUUGUUGAGAAUUUUUUUUAUAGUUCAACAACACUCAUUCACCCUCUUUAAGUGUAAUCCAUUAUUAUGAUUCACCUUUCAAAUAUGAUAUUUCAUUAUAAUACAUGGAUUUGAACUACAUUUAUGUUUUGGUGCUUUCCUUAAAUUUUCGAUGUGUCCUGCAAAAUGGUCUUUUUUUCAUACUCAAUAUGAUCUAUCCAUUCUUUUUUCCAUCUAAGGAUGAGGUAGACUAAGAAUCCAAUUCUCACUAAUUCCAUAAAACACUUCUGGUAUAUUAAAAAAAAUGUUUUUUAAAGAAAAAUUAAACAUUUGACAAAAUUUUAAAAUUAGAAAAAUCAUUUAUAAUAUUUCUUAAAAAAAACACUUAAAAUAAAUUAUUCUUUCAAAAACACUUUUAGAGAAAUAAUUCCAUUAAAAACACUUCCAAUUAGCUAAAAACGCUUAAAAUAAAUUAUUCUUUCAAAAACACUCUUAGAGAAAUAAUUCCAUUAAAAACACUUCCAAUUAGCUAAGGUGUAUGCCAAAAUUUCUUGAUGAAGAACUCUAAUAUACAUAUGAAAAUUUCGGGUCAAUAUGUAGCUUCUUUUCUUUUUAUGUGGACACGUGAAUCUUUUGAAAAGUUAGGGAUGCAAUUUGGUUGGGUUAACUUGAUCCAAUUCAAACCCAACUGCAUAUUGGGUCGGCUUGUACAAUUAUUUUUAAUACUCAUAUUUGGUUUGGAUCAAGUUUUUUUUUUAUCUUUAAUUCAAUUUCGUUGAUUCAAACCAACAAUCAUAUUUUGAUAAUAUUUAUAAUUUAUAUCAUCUAUAUACUAAAAUUAAUUUUUUUAAGCCUUCAAAAAAAUAUCAAAUUAAAAUAAAAUGACAUGUAAUGUUUAUUUUUAAUUUUUCUUAUUAUCUUGAAAUUUUCUUUCACCUAUAUAUUAUUUAAAUUUUCAAAUAAUUCAACAGAUGUCAUCAACCAAUCCUCAACCCGAGCACAUUUGGCUGAAUAUAUCUCGAGUCAAAAGUUUGAUUCAGUUUGAUUUAAUUAUUUUUAAACUGGCGUCGGAUUUGGAUUAACCACCAGUCUGUUUGCCACCUAGGAAAAGCUACAUUUAUACGGUCAAUUCCAAGUCUCCAACAGCCAAUCAACAUUGGCAAGAAGGAUAUUUAGGAUAUCAACAAAGGCCAAAAAUAAAAUAGAAAAAUAAUAUAUAUAUAUAUAUAUAUAUAUAUAUAUAUAUAUAUCUUACUAAAAAAGAAAAACUACCAAAAAUCAAAUCGACCAUGUCACCUUCUAUUAAAAUCAAACAACAAUGGCCAAACUUGGCUUAUUCGGAAAUACUCAAAAUAAAACCAAAAAUCCCAAUUUAAAAGGGUCAUUACAUUUUCUUCAUAAAAGCCUUGUUCAAGACUGAAAUAAAGGAAAUUUGCCUUGUAGCUUAAAUGCAUCUUCACGUAUCUAAGAUAGAAAUGGGCUCAAGCUACAACUAGACAUCUUCUUACAUUGCUAGUAACUCGAUGGCAGAAGUAAUUGACUUCCCAAUUUUCUUUUUUAAGUAAGAAACGUAAAAAACAAGAUGAAUUUUUUACUUUACUGGUAAUUCCAAUUUGUAGGCAACCUGUCAAAUUCGUUGAAUAAUCUUAUAUAGACCAAAGAAUUGAGGAGACAACUUCAUAUUCCCUUUGAAUGAUACAAUAGUUUGUUUAUAAGGUUAUAGAUGAAAAAAGACCAUAUCUCCCACUUCAUAUGUCCUUUCACCUCUUUUUUGGUCUACAUACAUCUUCAUUCUAACUUGGGCUUGAAUAAGGUUAGUCUUGACUCUUGACUAGUCGUUUAUUGAUGAUAAUGCUUGUUCAUUUGAAUUUAACUCCUCUAUUUUUGUCAUCAAGGACUCCAAACGAUAGAUGGUAGCGAAUGGUCAAAAGAAAAGGAAGUUUUUCGCUUUUGAAGAUGAACAAAUUGAAGCUUUCACUACUAUCAAAGCACAAGGACCACCUUCAUAAAUUUGGCAUGCUUAUUUAGGGCAUCCUAAUUAUGCCUUUUAAAAAGCUUAGAAAAUAAGAAAGUUAUAGAUGUUUCCAAUUGGCUAACUAAGGACACUCCUUGCACUAGCUAUCAACUUGGAAAACGUUGUAAACUUUCCUUCAAUAAAUCAGAAACAACUACAAGUUUUCCUCUUGAAAAAAUUCAUAAUGAUUUGUGGGGAGCACCUUUUACUUAUACACAAAAGUUGCAAUAUAUACUAUGUAAUUUUUGUUAAUGAUUUCACUCAAUCCACAUGGUUGUAUCCUUUAAGGCAUAAAUUUGACUUUUACAACUGUUUUCUAAAACUUCAAGCAUUUGUUGAAAAACAUUUUGAUAGAAAAAUCAAAACUUUCCAAUGCGAUGGAGAAAGUGAGUUUACUUCAAACAAUUUCACAAAUCAUUUGCUUAAAUGUGAGAUAAAACAACAAGUAUCUUGUCCUUAUAAACCGGAACAUAAUGGAUUAACUGAAAGGAAACAUCAACAUAUUGUUGAAACAACUUGACUCUCUUUUUCAUGCUAAUAUUCCUUUAAAAUUUUGGGUAGAUGCAUUCUUAAUUGUUACUUAUCUUACCAACAUAUUACCUCUCUCUUCUAUUGGUAAGAAUUCUCCAUACUUCUAAUUUUUUUGUCAACAUCCCAAUUAUUCCAGUUUACGCAUUUUUGGUUCUCUUUACUUUCCUUAUUUAAAAACUCUUAGCAUGCACAAAUUUUCAAAAAAAACUAUACCCUAUGCUUUCAUAGGAUAUAGUCCUUUACAUAAAGGUUAAUGUCUUGAUCCCAUAUCAAAUCAAGUUUACAUUUCUCCACAUGUAGUUUUUAAUGAGGCAUGUUUUUCUUUUAUAAAAAAUGAAUCUUCCUCUUUCUCUCAUAAUCUUUCAAUUACAACUUUUCCUAACCAUGAUGAAUGGUCUUCGGGAACAUCAAGGGAACAAUUGAAGUCCUUUCUGCUUGAAGGUCCUUCACCGCAUCAACCACCAACUAAUUCUUCCACAAAAGUUCAUCAAAUUGACCUUGAGGAUACUCCUCAAGAUUUUAUUCCUCUUUCAUCUCAAACAUCUACCUCUCUUUUAUCUUUGCCUUAUUCUCUCACCCUCACAACUCAAAUAUAAUUAUCUCUUUAGGGGCUAUAAGUUCCUUAAUUUUGAACUAAUUAGUCAUUUUAUGACUUCUUUGAAAGUAUCAAAUUUUUCGUGUAUUUUUCUAAAAAAAGAAAUUACAUCAUUUGAGUUGACAAAUCUAUUACACUUCAAAUGAACCUUGUAUUCAUUUAUCGUUAUAAUAGCUACUUGUCCUACUAGGACAUUAUUUUUUGCUUCAAUUAUUUUACUAUGCUUCAGGCAUAUAUCUACUACUAUAUUAGUUAAUUAUCCUUUAAGAACAUUGACUUUUGUAUAAAAGAAUUUUCAAGAAAUUUCACAUCAUUCUCCUGAAAUCAACUUCCUCACCCAACUACAAGAAAAUUUGUCUCAUCAAAAAUAGCAAUUUGCACAAUAGGUUACACUACCCUUCAUAGGUAUAGAUAAACAAGUCAUUGGGUAAAAACUUAUGAUUUUAUAAUAUAUAUCUAUGUAACUUAUAAUGAGUUGAUGCAUUAUUAUUUACCUCGAGAAUCAUAUUGAUCAUAUCAUAUUCUUAAUAAAAUAUGAAGUGUCAUUAAUAUAAAAUUUUAUGCCAUUAGUGACAUAAUUUUAUCUCUUCAAAAGUCCACAAUCAAGCGUACUUGAUGUAUAUUAACAUCAAUUAUACAUAUAUUGUACAAUAUAUAAGACAUAUAUCAUAAAAUAAAUCUACUUGACGUUAUAAGAAUGCAACUAAUAAAUAUGAUCGAUAUAUGUAAGCAUUAAAAAUAAUAAUAAUAAUUUUUUUCAUAAUAUGGAAUGCACAAUUUUAGACGUUCCAUAGCUUGAAGAUAAUAGUGAAGAGAUAAUCAAAUUAAAUUUCAAUCAUAACAAAUUAAGAAUUUCAAUAAUUCAAUUCAAAAAUGAAAAACUCACAUAAUUCCUUCAUAUCUUCUUAUUAUGAAAAUAUAUAAAAUUUAUAUAACUUCAAGUUCCGAGUUGUACAAAAAAUUUUAUAUGAAUAUAUAAAAUAAUAGUUUCAGGCUAUAAAAUAUUCUUUAUAUAGUUUUUAACUAUAUAGUUAUAAAAAAUUGUUAUGUAUAACUUCUAAUCAUGCAACAAAAUUAAAAAUUGUUUGUAUAUAUACCUUAUCAUAAAACAAAUUUAAUUAGCAAAUAAUAGAUAUAUUAGAGAAUAUCUUAUCUAUGCUCAAGCAAAAGAAAUCAAACCAAAAAUAGCUUAAUUAGAAUUAAAUUCCUUUUAUAAAAGGAUAAUGUGGUGGUGUUUCAAAACUAAACUCAAUCAUAUUCAAACUCUUCUCUUUCAUUCUUAUCUCUAUAAAACAAUUUAUCCUCUUAUUAUUUUAUUUAUUUAUAAAAUUCACCCUUCCAAAUAAAGAGGGUCCAACUAACUAAACCCAAAAUUUUAAACUAUCAAAUUAACAUUUUCUUUUCACUCUCUUCAUUUUAUCAAUAACCAAAAAAGAUUAUUAAAAUUCAAAUAAUAUCUACAAAGAUAAGGGAUAAAAUCAAAAAUUUCAGCAAAUCUAAAAAAAUAUAAAUUAUAAAUUCAUGAAAAUAAAUAGAUUAUGUACAACAAUCCAAUCGUACUAGAAUCUUUUUGCAUUGAGAAAUUCAAAUGCAAAAUUCAUACUUCUAUUCACAAUAAUAAUAAUUCAAAUUACAAACAUCAUCCAAUAGGUUUAAUACUUCUCAAUCAUGGAUUAGAAAUUGACAUAGAUUUUGGCUAGCAUAAAAAAAAUAUUAAUAUUAUUAUUUUUAUAACUUAUAAUUAUGAAUAAUAAUUACAUGGCUUCUUGCUAUGUAUAAUUUAAAUUUGUACCAAAAAAAAAUAUUAAUAUUGCUAUUUUCAUAACUUUUAAUUACAUGUAGUAAUUAUAUAACUUCUAGAUGUGUAUUACUUUGGUUUGUACAAAAAUUAUUAAUAUUAUUAUUUUAAUAACUUUUGUUUAUGUAUAAAAAGUUUCUGAGUACAUAUAAUUUUAAUUCAUAACAUAUAUCUUCUAAUCAUAUAAGUUUUGACAUUUAUUAAAUUUACUAGCUAUUUUUACUUUUGCGUAACUUUAGACACAAAAUUCUCACACAAGUUUAUCUAUGAAUAAUGAAAAUUUGAAUUAUAUUCUAAUAAUAUAAAAAAAAAUUGAAAAUUAUAACUAUUAUAGAAAAUAAAAUCAUAUGAUUUACCUUAUCAUGAAAUUGAUGUAGGAGCUUUUAAAGUAUUUCUCAUGAAAUUUCAUCGAAAAAUAUUUAAUAUAGAUAAUAAAUCUCCUGCCCAAUUUUGUUAAGUAGUAAUCUUCAAAUAUUGGCUGGUAUUGAUAAUAUGUUGUAAAAGGUCUCCCAUUUAAGGAGAGUAAAUCAAUAUUAAUUUCUCCCAUUUUUUAGGGAGUAAAUCAAUAUUAUGAUUAUGCAUCAUUUUCAUAAUAGUAUAAAUUCUUAUAUUUUAUAACAUAAAUAUAAUUUCUAUAAAUUUUUCUCAUGUUUUGAGUAAAAAGUAUUUUUUUUUAAAAAUCAUUUAAAAAGAUAAAGUCUAAUCAUAGUGAAUGACCAAUAAAAAUAAAAGGAAAAAGGAAGAUAAGUAUCUUGGCUAACACACACAGGACCAGAGACUUUUUCAAUGGAGAUAUGGGUCUUCCUCUUCGUCGUCUCCCUCUGCAUUGCUUCUCUCCUCAAAUCUCUCCAUGAUUUCUUCUUCCCAAAGCUCAAUCUCCCACCAGGACCCGCUGCCUUUCCUCUCAUCGGAAACCUCCACUGGCUCGGCCCAUCCUUCGCCGACCUCGAACCCAUACUUCGAAAUUUACACGCCAAGUACGGCCCAAUCCUCACUCUCCGAAUCGGCUCUCGCCCGGCCAUCUUCAUCUCCGAGAACUCCCUCGCCCACCAGGCCUUGGUGCAAAACGGAGCCGUUUUCGCCGACCGUCCUGCGGCGCUUCCGGCCAGUAGAGUCAUGAGCAGUAACCAGCGAAACAUCAAUUCGAGCCCCUAUGGCCCGACCUGGCGUCUCCUCCGCCGCAAUCUCACGGCCGAGAUUCUCCACUCUUCCCGGGUGAGAAGCUACUCCCACGCACGGAAGUGGGUGCUGGAGAUUCUGGUCUCUCGGCUUAGAGGCCACUCCGACGGAUUUGUCCCCGUCCGAAUAAUGGAUCACUUUCAAUACGCCAUGUUUUGCCUACUGGUGCUCAUGUGUUUCGGGGACAAGCUCGAGGAGAAGCAAAUUCAGGAGAUUGAGAUGAUUCAACGAAAGUUGUUGUUGGCGUUCCGUGGAUUGAAUAGGCUCAAUUUGUGGCCGAGGAUGGGGAAGAUAUUAUUUCGAAAAAGGUGGGAGGAGUGGCUUAAUUUGCGCAAGGAUCAGGAAGCGAUUCUUCUGCCGCACAUAAGAGCCAGACAGCGGCUUAAGCAGGAAACGCAAAACAAACAAGAAGAUGAUUCAUCUUCAUCUUCAAAGGACUAUGUCUUGUCGUAUGUGGACACUUUGCUGGAUCUGCAGCUGCCGGAGGAGAAGAGGAAGCUUAAUGAAGGAGAGAUGGUGACGCUGUGCUCGGAGUUUCUCAGUGCCGGAACUGACACCACCUCCACUGCACUGCAGUGGAUCAUGGCGAACCUGGUGAAGGCCCCCCAUAUUCAGGCCAGGCUUUUCGAGGAGAUUAGUGGGGUUGUGGGGGAGGGAGAGGAGGAGGUGAAGGAGGAGGAUUUGCAGAAGAUGCCAUACUUGAAGGCAGUGGUCUUGGAAGGUCUGAGGCGGCAUCCUCCGGGACACUUUGUGUUGCCUCAUUCAGUGACCCAAGAUGUAAGCUUUGAAGGGUAUGACAUACCCAAGAAUGCAACUGUGAAUUUCUCAGUAUCAGAUAUGAAUUGGAACCCAACGAUUUGGGAAGAUCCAAUGGAGUUCAAGCCAGAGAGGUUCUUGAACAGCAAUGGAGAUGGAGAUCAUGCAGAUGCAGGGAAAGAAUUUGAUAUAACUGGGAGCAAAGAGAUAAAGAUGAUGCCAUUUGGUGCAGGGAGGAGGAUUUGUCCUGGGUAUGGGUUGGCAAUGCUGCAUUUGGAGUAUUUUGUGGGGAAUUUGGUGUGGAAUUUUGAAUGGAAAGCAGUGGAGGGAGAUGAAGUUGAUCUAUCUGAGAAGCUGGAGUUCACGGUAGUGAUGAAGAAUCCAUUGCAGGCUCACUUAUCUCCAAGGUUGAAAUAAUUUAUAAAUAAAUAAAAAAAUAAAGAAGUAGACGGCUUUAGAAGACCACUACUACUUCAUCAUCACCAUAAUUCUUAUGAUAUUUCAGUAUAAUGUAUGGAUUUGAACUGCACAUUCUAUAACAUAUAUGCAGAAUAUUAAAGGGAAAGUUGGCUCGAUGUGUAUGCAAAAUCGUAAGAAAGUGGGUUAUCUUUCCUUGUGUCUAGCUACCUCUUGGUUGGUCUUCUUUGAUGGGAAUUUUAUCGCAAGAGAACAAAAGGAAUCCUCCUUUCCAUGAGUCAUACAACAAAUGACUUUUUGAUGGGGCCGGGAGGUUAUAGCUAAUGAAGAAACAAUCAAACUCAAAUCAUAUAUAUUCAUUAUUUUUUUCAUCUAGGAUGAGGUUGUCUAAAUCCCACCUUCUUGGGAGAGACGAGCCAUGAAAAAGCAAGAAAGUGCAAUCAAUACUAAGCCCUAUGCCUAGAUUUCUUGACCAGUAACUCUAAUAUGCAUAUAAAAAUUUCCAUUCGAUGUGUAGUUUCUUCUGUUUUUAUGUUCAACGAUAAUUACCUACUUUCUUCUAUCCCUGUCAUUAAAGCAUCAAGAAGCACAAUAUUGGCAUUGGGUUAGAACGAGAUACAAUUUAUCUGUCAUCUAAGUGGAAAGGUGAGAAGUAUUAUUUGGUCAGCUUAGCCCGAACCUAGUCCGAAUCCAACUUCACCUUUGGUCAGAUUUUGAUUUGGAUCAAGUUUUUUCAAUCUUUUAACUCAAUUUGAAUUGGUUGCAAACAAGGUUCAUGCUUUGAUCAUAUUUAUAAUUUAUAUUUUCUCACGUAUUAAUAUUAAUUUUAUUUUAUAUAUUAUUUAAAUUUCCAUUUAAAUCACACAACAUGAAGCUAAUCUAAUCUAACCAUCCAAACCUAGUAUGAUGGGAUUUGAUUAGGUUUGAAAUUAAUUAUUUUGAAGUAUACCCCAGAUCAGAUCAAAGGUCUGAUUGGGUUCCAAAUUAAUUAUUUUUAAAUUCUGACUUGGAUUGGGAUAACCCUCAAUCGAUUUGCCAACCCAGCAAAUUAUCCAUCUACGGUGUCAAUUGCAAUAACCAAUCAACGUGAGCAAUACAGGAUAUUUAGGAUAACUACAAAAGGCCAAAACCAACUUAGGAUACUGACAAACUACAGUCUAAAUAACAUGAAAUUGAUAUAUAUAUAUAAAGAAGAAAAGCUACGAAAAAACCACGUCAUCUUCCAUGAAAUUGACUCCUGACCACCCAAUAUGUCUAAUGCAGAUAGCAGCAUUAGCACAAUCCAGAAGCAUAUCUUUCUUCUUCUCCAUCCUGAUUGAUUGGAUUGGAUUUCAUAACGAAAAUGGAGACAUGGGUCUACAACAUCGUCAUCUCCCUCUGCGUUGCUGCUUUGCUCAAGUCUCUUUAUGAUUUCAUCUUUCCAAAACUGAACCUACCUCCAGGACCCACCACGGUUCCUUUUGUGGGGAACCUGCUAUGGCUCCUUAAAUCCUUCUCAGAGCUUGAACCAAUCCUCCGAAACCUCCACGCCAAGUAUGGACCCAUCGUCACCCUCCAAAUCGGCUCUCGUCCGGCCAUCUUCGUCUCCGCCAACUCCCUCGCCCACCGGACCUUGGUCCAAGAUGGUGCCGUUUUCGCUGAUCGCCCCAAGGCCCUGCCCACCAACAGAAUUUUUAGCAGUAAUCAGCAUAACAUCAGCUCCGCGGUCUAUGGCCCGACUUGGCGCCGCCUCCGCCGCAACCUCACCGCCGAGAUCCUCCACCCUUCACGGGUGAGAAGCUAUUCUCAGGCGCGAAGGUGGGUCUUGGAGAUUCUAAUCUCUCGGCUCCAAGCACGCUCAGAGUCAGGUGAGGCAGUCCGGGUCGUGGAUCACUUUCAGUAUACUAUGUUUUGCUUGCUGGUUCUCAUGUGUUUUGGGGACAAGCUUGAGGAGAAGCAGAUUCAAGAGAUUGAGACGAUUCAAAGAAUAUUGUUGUUGGGUUUUCCUCGCUUCAAUAUAUUAAACUUCUGGCCUAGGGUGGGAAAGGUAUUGUUCCGACAUCGUUGGGAGGAGUUGUUCCAGCUUCGCAAGAAACAGGAAGACAUUCUGCUCCCAUACAUAAGAGCCAGGCAGCAGCUAAAGCAAGAAAUCCAAAGCAAACAGCAACAAGACGGCCUUGAAUCAGAUUCGUCUCCCUCCUCAAAGAACUAUGUUUUGUCGUAUGUCGAUACUUUGCUGGAUCUGCAGCUACCAGAAGAAAACAGGAAACUAAAUGAUGGAGAGAUGGUGAGUUUGUGCUCAGAGUUUCUCAAUGGUGGGACUGAUACCACAUCCACUGCACUGCAGUGGAUCAUGGCGAACCUGGUGAAGCACCCGCAUAUUCAGGCCAAGCUUUUGGAGGAGAUUAGUGGGGUUAUGGGGGAAGGGAAGGAAGAGGUGGAGGAGGAAGAUUUGCAGAAGAUGCCAUACUUGAAGGCAGUCAUCUUGGAAGGUCUUAGGCGGCAUCCUCCAGGACACUUUGUGUUGCCUCAUUCAGUGACCCAAGAUAUAACCUUUGAAGGGUAUGUUAUACCCAAGAACGCCUCUCUCAAUUUCAUGGUAUCAGAGAUGAAUUGGAACCCCAAGAUAUGGGAAGAUCCAAUGGAGUUCAAGCCAGAGAGGUUCUUGAACAGCAAAGGCAAUGGAGAUGAAGUGUUUGAUAUUACUGGGAGCAGGGAGAUUAAGAUGAUGCCGUUUGGUGCAGGAAGGAGGAUAUGUCCCGGCCAUGGCCUAGCGAUGCUGCAUCUGGAGUAUUUUGUGGCCAAUUUGGUAUGGAGUUUUGAAUGGAAGGCUGUGGAGGGAGAUGAAGUUGAUCUAUCAGAGAAGCAGGAGUUCACGGUAGUGAUGAAGAAUCCAUUGCAGGUCCACUUGUCUCCACGAUGGAAAUAAGGCAAAAGUAGAUGGCUUUAGGAGACCACCACUGCACCAAAGUCCAUCACUAGUUACUAUAAUCAUCAAUAAUAUGCCUGUCACAACAGCUUUGAAUGUUAGAAUGAGCUCUCUUAUAAUGUUUGGAUCUGAAGCAUAUAAUAUUGUAUAUGUGAAAAGCUUACCAGUCAUGGUGUCAAGGGGACUUUUCUCAAUAGUACCAUAAUUUAAAAAAGUUAUGCUUAAAUUAUUAUAGUAGAAGAAGUUAUUACAAAUAUAUGAUAGUUUUUGCAACCUAGGAAAGAGGAGAGAGGAGAGAGGGUGAACGGAUAAAUUUUUUUUUAAACCAAAAUUAUCUUUUCAAAUUUCAAAAGAUGAAAUCGUCUUUUCUAAAGAUGAUUUUAAAAAAAAUUCAAAAGGGAAAUUGUCGCUUCUAGANNNNNNNNNNNNNNNNNNNNNNNNNNNNNNNNNNNNNNNNNNNNNNNNNNNNNNNNNNNNNNNNNNNNNNNNNNNNNNNNNNNNNNNNNNNNNNNNNNNNCUCGUCUCUUCAAGAGACGACUUCCAUGAAGAAAAAUAUAUAUAUAUUUUUUUAAAAAAAAUCCCAAAUUAAAAAAAAAAAAAAAAAAAAAAAACCAAUUCCUCAAGGGAACUCGUCUCUUGAAAAGACGAGUUCCUUGAGGAAUUUUUUUUUUUUUAAUUUGGGAAUUUUUAAAAAAAAUAUAUAUAUAUUUUUUUUAUGGAACUCGUCUCUUAAAGAGACGAUUUCCCUUUUGAAUUUUUUUUAAAAUCGUUUUUUGAAAAGACGAUUUCGUCUUUUGAAAUUUGAAAAGAUGAUUUUGGCUUUAAAAAAAAUUUAUCCGUUCACCCUCUCUCCUCUCUCCUAGGUGGCAAAAACUACCAUAUAUUUGUAAUAACUUCUUCUACUACAAUAAUUUAAGCAUAACUUUUUUAAAUUACCGUACUAUGAGAAAAGUCCGUCAAGUUGGUUAGGACAUAUACAGAUACCGAAAUGUGUGGUAGAGGCACAUGAACCCAUGUUUAAUUCCUACCUCUACUUGAAUACCUUGAAUUACUCAGUUAUUAAAUUAAUAAAUAAAUAAAUCUCAAUAAAUGAAAGCCAUAUUUGAGUCUUACUCUUAAAAAUUCCAGAAAUGGGACCCCAGGUGUGGACGUGUAUCAAAUUCUCAGUAAGGAGGCAGACCUCUACCAUGCCAAGUUCAAGUUCUCUCUUCUGGGAACUAACGGCUUAGGAAAUGCUGAAUAUAUCUGCAAAGCCCUGAUUCAUAAGCUCUAAAGCAUGAGCCACAAUGUUCAAGCUAAAAAUGUCAAAAAUCACAUGAAAGUGGAUUUGAAUGCUUAGUCCAACUGUUUCACAUCUUUGAAAGAUCUAUUUAUUUCCUUCCAAACAACACAAAACACAUACAAGGAAGCCACGCUUUUUUCCAUUUCUUUCCUACAAUGGAUCUGUGCCAAAGAGAAAGGGUUCUUCUCACAACUAGGGAUGGCAACGGGGCGGGUUCGGGGCGGGGCGCCCCCCUCCCAACCCCGCCCCGUUUAUUUAAACCAAUUCCCAUCCCCGUCCCAUUUAAAAAAUUAAACGGGGCGGGGCGGGGUGGGCGGGUAUGCUACAUUCCCAUACCCGCCCCGUUUAAUUUUUUAUUUAAUUUUAAUUUUAAUUUUUUUAAAAAAUUACUUUUAAAUUUUUUUAAUUAUAUUAAAAUAAAUAUAUUUUAUAAAUAAUUAAAUAAUUAUAUUUUUUAUAACUUAUUUUAUUAAAAAUAAUUUAUUAUUAUCUAUAUAUUAAAAAUAAUAAAAUAAAAAUUAAAUUAAAUUAAUUUUAAAUUUUAAAUUAAAUUAAAUUUUAAUUUUAAUUUUAUAUAUAAUCGGGGCGGGGCGGGGCGGGGUGGGGCAAUACCCGAACCCGCCCCGGGUUUCAAAAAAAAUCCCAAACCCGUCCCAUACCCGUUUAGAAAAAUAAUAUCCCACCCCAUUAGGGGCGGGGCGGGGCGGGUACCCGAAAUGACCCGCCCCAUUGCCAUCCCUACUCACAACACCCAAACCACUCCAAACAGUCAAAAAAGGGUUAAUUUCAUUGAGUGUAAAUACAUUAAGUCAUGACAAGUUUCACAUUUCAUAAGUUAGCACCCUAUAAAUAUAUUUCAUAUAUAAAUUUUAUUUUUUAAAGAAUAAAAUUUAGUUUUUAGAGAAUUAUUAAACACUCCUAUUUAAAAUAUUUUUAUUUAAAAUCUCUCUAAAAAAUAAAUUUGUUAAACAGAAUAAAUUUAUAAAGGUGCUAAUCGAGGAAAUUUGAAAUCAAUAGUGGUUGGGUGUAUUUACACCAAACCUCGGGGGGCCUUUAUGAAAUUAACCCACCAAAAAAUUUGCUGCCUUAGAAUGCUUGCGUUUGGGCAUUAAAGGAAGAUGUGAUCAGUCAAAUUUUCAUCCACUUUGCACAUGAAACAGCUGUUCGGGAUUACAGGGGAGCAGAACAAAAUGCAAUUCAUCUAUCAAAUAAGUGGACAGUUUUCAAAAGCUAGAUGGAGUUAUAACCCAUUUGGCACCACAAGCAACCAGAAUGAUGUCUAGCAGCAGUUGUAAUAGCUCCACGGCUGUGUGAACUCCAUCAACCAGAGAAGCCCAAUUUACUCUUCAAUCUACAAAGUCAAUUCAAAGAACUGAUCAAUACUGGAUGAUAGCGAAUUUAGGGGCCCAUCUCAUGAACCUCGUGGGAUUUUUUUCUCCCUAUAAUGACAAUGAUGCACAGCCUACUACAGCCGGUAGUCAUUCAAAAAUUUUGAAAAAUUUCAGCUGGACCAUCCUGAAAAUAUAAGAUAAAAAGAAUUAUUAUGUCUGUCCAAGAAGUUUCUUCAUCAUCACAUUCAUCCAUACAGAAAUCUGCUCUGAACAGACAUUAAAUUAUAACUUAUCUUUCAUAUCUUUUUUUCAGCUCUAACAAAAUCUUUCCAUAGAACAUAGGGAUUUUCGAUGGAUCCAAGAAGUUAUGGCUCAUGAAGAAACAAUCAAACCUAUAUGACCUAUAUAUUCUUUUUCAUCUACAAAAGCUUCAUCAAGGAUGAGGUAGACAACACCAUCCCAGGACAGGCUAGAGCAAUGAAAAAUAAUAAAAAAUAAGGCCUAUGCCAUGAUUUGACAAAAACUUCAAUCAAUAUUUAGUUUUUUCUGCUAUAACGUUAGCAUCACCCAUAACUCAAUGUCCCAACAGUCAGCUGACAGUCAGUAAUGCUAAAUAAACUGAUCAUAUAAACCCUUACUUUCUUCCAUCUUUGUAAUUAAAGUAACAAUGACAUGGGGGCAGAACAAUAUGCAAUUCAUCUGUCAACUAAGCCAAAAAGUUCCAUUAGCUAGAUGGAGUUUAUUACCAAUUUGGCACCACAAGUAACCAGAACUGCCUUAAAACAGCAGUGGUAGAAGCUUUUGAUUAGCCCAGAGCCGUGAAUAGAAAACCAUGAACCCCAUCAACCAGUUAAGCCCAAUCCAAGCUUUUGAUUGUUGCCACAGUUGUGCGUAGGAAACUAUGAACUCCAUGGCCAGUGAAGCAUAAUCUGGUUUUCAAUUUACAGAGUCAAUUCUAAGAACCAAUCAACAGGGACAAUAACAAUGUUUAGGAUACAAACAAAAGGCAACAAGCAAAAUAGGAUACUAAUUAAUUAUAAUAUGUAAUUGAUAUGUAGAUAAAUAGGCCACAUGUGUAUGUCGCUGUCUCUGGAGUCGUGUUUGAGAAAAUUAAUAUACGUCAUAGUAUUAGCAUAGCAAUUUAUCCCUACCACCCAAUAUAUCUAAUCCAGAAAGCAGUAGCACAGCCCAGAAGAAGAGCAAGUUCUUCAUCUUAGAGAUUGGAUUGGAUUUGAUAACUAAAAUGGAGAUAUGGCUGUUCAUCAUCAUCUCCCUCUGUGUUGCUACUCUCCUCAAAUCUCUCUAUGAUUUCCUCUUUCCAAAACGAAAGCUCCCACCAGGACCCACCACGGUUCCUAUCAUUGGGAACUUGCAAUGGCUCCUUAUAUCGUCCUUGGAGCUUGAACCAAUCCUCCGAAACCUACACACCAAGUAUGGCCCAAUCAUCACUCUCCAAAUGGGCUUUCACCCGGCCAUCUUCAUCUCCACCAACUCCCUUGCCCACAAGAUGUUGGUCCAAAAUGGUGUCGUUUUUGCUAAUCGUCCUGAGGGGCCAGCCAACAGAAUUGUAAACAGUAAUCAGCAUAACAUCGCCUCAGCCAUAUAUGGCCCAACCUGGCGUCUCCUCCGCCGCAACCUCACUGCUGAGAUCCUGCACCCUUCACGCGUGAGAAACUACUCUCACGCACGAAAGUGGGUCCUGGAGGUUCUAAUCUCUCGGCUUCAAGGCCACUCAGAAUCAGGUGAGUCAGUCCAGGUGGUGGAUCACUUCCGGUAUGCUAUGUUUUGCUUACUGGUUCUCAUGUGUUUUGGGGACAAGCUUGAGGAAAAACAAAUCCAAGAGAUUGAGACGAUUCAACGACGAUUGUUGUUGGGCUUUCCUCGCUUCAACAUAUUAAAUUUCUGGCCUAGGGUGGGAAAGGUAUUGUUCCGGAGUCGUUGGGAGGAGUUGUUCCAGCUUCGCAAAAAUCAGGAAGACACUCUGCUCCCAUACAUAAGAGCCAGGCAGCGACUAAAGCAAGAAAUUCAAAGCAAACAGAACCAAGACAGCCAGGAGUCAGGUUCAUCUUCCUCAAAGAACUAUGUCUUGUCAUACGUCGAUACUUUGCUGGACCUGCAACUGCCAGAAGAGAAGAGGAAGCUAAACGAAGGAGAGAUGAUUGGUUUGUGCUCAGAGUUUCUUGAUGGUGGGACUGACACUACAUCCACUGCACUGCAGUGGAUCAUGGCCAACAUAGUGAAGUACCCACAUAUUCAGAGGAAGCUCUUUGAGGAGAUUAAUGGGGUUGUGGGGGAAGGGAAGGAAGAGGUGGAGGAGGAAGAUUUGAAGAAGAUGCCAUACUUGAAGGCAGUGAUCUUGGAAGGUCUGAGGCGGCAUCCUCCGGGACACUUUGUGUCGCCUCAUUCAGUGACCCAAGUUAUAACCUUUGAAGGGUAUGUUAUACCCAAGAACGCCUCUCUCAAUUUCACGGUAUCAGAGAUGAAUUGGAACCCCAAGAUAUGGGAAGAUCCAAUGAAGUUCAAGCCAGAGAGGUUCUUAAACAGCAAAGGCAAUGGAGAUGAAGUGUUUGAUAUAACUGGGAGCAGGGAGAUUAAGAU